rnacentral:rRNA from 1 species
AUACGGAGGGUGCAAGCGUUAAUCGGAAUUACUGGGCGUAAAGCGCACGCAGGCGGUUUGUUAAGUCAGAUGUGAAAUCCCCGGGCUCAACCUGGGAACUGCAUCUGAUACUGGCAAGCUUGAGUCUCGUAGAGGGGGGUAGAAUUCCAGGUGUAGCGGUGAAAUGCGUAGAGAUCUGGAGGAAUACCGGUGGCGAAGGCGGCCCCCGGGACGAAGACGGACGCUCAGGUGCGAAAGCGUGGGGAGCAAACAGGAUUAGAUCCCCGGGUAGUCCACGCCGUAAACGAUGUCGACUUGGAGGUUGUGCCCUUGAGGCGUGGCUUCCGGAGCUAACGCGUUAAGUCGACCGCCUGGGGAGUACGGCCGCAAGGUUAAAACUCAAAUGAAUUGACGGGG